AAUGCCAUCCUGGGGCACCGGCUUCAAGGUUUGUAAUCAAAUAUCUCGAACUCAAGCUCUUUCUAUGGCAGUUAUUUUAUAGAUCGCUAUGGUAUUUUGGCGUCAAGGGACCUAAAUCAAGACCGGAGAGAACACCGCAAUACAUUAAUUAAACAGAAUUAGUUCGCUGGUUUAAAUUACGAAUGACAUUCAGACACAUCUUCUCAUUGAGUGCAUUGUCUUGUGUUUGAAGUUGUUCAAAUCUUGCUUUCGAGCGGAAGGAACGGAGGUAGGCAAGACUGAGGUACCUAAGAAAAGUCUAUGAUAAAGACGACGCCUUCACAUUGUGUUGCGUCCACGAACGAAUGAUUUAUGAGACUCAAUUAAACGAGACGACAGAAUCGGCCUCCGUUUCUGUACUAAGAGAGAAAAAGUCUUCUUAUUCUGUCAUUACAGUGUGGCUAUGCUGGGGCACCGCUUUCAAGAACUUUUAGUCGAAUCAAUCGACCCAACAACUUGCUUUUUUCAAGCCUAGCACUUAUUCAAUUGUUGUCUUUUGCCGAACCACUAAGU
rnacentral:lncRNA from 1 species